AAGCCCUCGCUCCCUUCCCCAGUGCUGGCCCCUCCGCCGCUGCCUUAUUCCCCACAACAGCCCUGAGAAGUCGGUGGCAGCAUCCCCAUGGUAUAGGCGAUUUACUUAUAAAGUCUGUUAUAAACGGGAGUGUCCGAGAAGCCUGCCGGCCAGGAGAGGAGCCUGGACUGACGGCGCUGGCUCCUCGGCGACUUCUACUCUGUGACACCUUCCCUGACAACCAACCAUUCAACCAACUCCAUCCGUCCAUUUCAUCAGCAUUUCUGGAGGUCAGGCCCUGCAUUAGAAGGGUAUGCCCAAGCCGCCACCAGUUCUCCCUCGGCUGGACUUCUAGGCUUUGCCUGAAUCAAUGUCGUACACCUGAUGGGAAGGCUGAGGCUUCCAUUCCUGAGUAACUCGCCUAAUGCCGCAUAUUAACAGGCUGAACCAGAGUUCAAGUCCAUAUGGAUUAAUUCCAGGGCCCCCGUGCUUAGAACUAUGCUGCUUCUAACAUCUGAGGCUGAAGAGGGAUGCCGGACUCGACCCAGAGACUCAGCUAUCAGCUAGUUUGGGUUCUGGGUUAUGUGCCAAACAGUCAACCAAAUGCAAACGCCAACCCUCAGUGCCUUUUCACUCAUUUUUUUCUCACAUCCUUCUUUAACUGCCUACCUAAGGAAUGAAAAUACAGAGGGUGCCAAAAAAACGCCUACACAUUUUUAAGAAAGGAAAACUAUUAAAAUUGUAAUACUCAAUA